rnacentral:rRNA from 1 species
AUUGAACGCUGGCGGCAGGCCUAACACAUGCAAGUCGAGCGGAUGAAGGGAGCUUGCUCCUGGAUUCAGCGGCGGACGGGUGAGUAAUGCUUAGGAAUCUGCCUGGUAGUGGGGGAUAACGUCCGGAAACGGGCGCCAAUACCGCAUACGUCCUGAGGGAGAAAGUGGGGGAUCUUCGGACCUCACGCUAUCAGAUGAGCCUAGGUCGGAUUAGCUAGUUGGUGGGGUAAAGGCCUACCAAGGCGACGAUCCGUAACUGGUCUGAGAGGAUGAUCAGUCACACUGGAACUGAGACACGGUCCAGACUCCUACGGGAGGCAGCAGUGGGGAAUAUUGGACAAUGGGCGAAAGCCUGAUCCAGCCAUGCCGCGUGUGUGAAGAAGGUCUUCGGAUUGUAAAGCACUUUAAGUUGGGAGGAAGGGCAGUAAGUUAAUACCUUGCUGUUUUGACGUUACCAACAGAAUAAGCACCGGCUAACUUCGUG